CUCGUAGGCGGUUUGUCGCGUCGGAUGUGAAAACCCGGAGCUUAACUCCGGGCCUGCAUUCGAUACGGGCAGACUAGAGUUCGGUAGGGGAGACUGGAACUCCUGGUGUAGCGGUGGAAUGCGCAGAUAUCAGGAAGAACACCGAUGGCGAAGGCAGGUCUCUGGGCCGAUACUGACGCUGAGGAGCGAAAGCGUGGGGAGCGAACA
rnacentral:rRNA from 1 species